rnacentral:rRNA from 1 species
AGAGCGAACGCUGGCGGCCGGCCUAACACAUGCAAGUCGAACGGACCCUUCGGGGUUAGUGGCGGACGGGUGAGUAACACGUGGGAACGUGCCUUUAGGUUCGGAAUAGCUCCUGGAAACGGGUGGUAAUGCCGAAUGUGCCCUUCGGGGGAAAGAUUUAUCGCCUUUAGAGCGGCCCGCGUCUGAUUAGCUAGUUGGUGAGGUAAAGGCUCACCAAGGCUACGAUCAGUAGCUGGUCUGAGAGGAUGACCAGCCACAUUGGGACUGAGACACGGCCCAAACUCCUACGGGAGGCAGCAGUGGGGAAUCUUGCGCAAUGGGCGAAAGCCUGACGCAGCCAUGCCGCGUGAAUGAUGAAGGUCUAGGAUUGUAAAAUUCUUUCAGUAGGACGAUAAUGACGGUACUACAGAAGAAGCCCCGGCUAACUUCGUGCCAGCAGCCGC